ensembl:lncRNA
GCACUCACCUCAUUUAGUAGGAGACUCACAUUUUUCCCAGUCUUCCUUUUACUGCUGACAUACGUAAAAGAAAAAAAAACAACAAAAAAAAACCACUUUCUUGUUAUCCUUUAUCUCCUUUGCAGUGUUUAAUUCCAAGACAGCCUCAGCCCUCCUUCAGGCCCUGAAAACAUUCCUUUAUUCUUCCUAGGUGAACAGGUCCUUUUACCACAUUUCAUGGACCUUCUUCUUUCCCUUUGAAUUAUCCAUGAGUUCCUUGCUCAUCCACACAGGCCUUUUGCCACCUUUCCCUGAUUUCUUACUCUUAGGGAUGCACCAAUCCUGAGCAUGGAAGAAGUGGUAUUUACAUGUCAACUAACUCUCAUGAACCCCCUCGCCUUCUAAUGCUCUAGCCCCUGGAAUACUUCCAAAUAGGUCUUUGAAGAUGUCAAAAUUAGCUCUCCUGAAGCCCAGGGUAGCAAUCCUGCUUAUUUCUUUGCUUCUUCCACACUGAACUCUGCCAUCUCAUGAUCACUGCAUCUCAACCUACCUCCAACUUUCACAUCCCCAGCCAGCCAGCCCUUCCCUAUUAGUAAGAACAAGGUCAAGUAGCGCACCCAUCCUCAUUGGUUCCUCUGCCACCACUGUCAGAAAGUUAUCUUCAACACAUUGCAAGAACCAUCUGGACCUUGUGUGUCUGGCCAUGUUGCUUAUCCAACAAACAUCAAGAUGAUUCAAGUCCCCCAUAAGAACCAGUGCUGAGGAUUACAAGGAUACUUCCAGCUGUUUUUAGAAGGCCUCAUCAACUUCUUCCUCCUGAUCAGGUGGCCUAUACUACACACCCACAGCAGUAUCACCUAUGUUAGCCCACCCCUUAAUUCUUACCCACAAGCUCUCCACUUUUUCAUCAUUCACCCCUAUGUGGAGCUCAAUGCAUUUUAGUUGCUCUCUCACAUAAAGAGCAACUCCACCACAUCUCCGGGCAACCCAUUCCACUGCUGCACCACUCUUACUGUAAAAACUUCUUCAUAAUAUCCAAUUUAAAUCUCCCCUCUUUUAGUUUGAAACCGUUUUCUCUUGUCCUAUCACCAAAGGUGCUGCUAAAGAGUCUGUUCCCUUCUGUCUUAUAGCCCCUCUUUAGAUACUGAAUGGCCGCCAUCAGGAUCACCUCCCUCAGCCUACUGGCUACGCUUCUUUUGAUGCAGCCCAGGAUACUGUUAGCUUUCACGUGUCCAGCUUACCAUCCACCAGUAUCCCCAGGUUCUUUUUGGCAGAGUUGUGCUCAAUCAUUUCAUCCACUAGCUUGUACUGACAGUGGAGAUUGCCUUGACUCUGGUGCAAUAUCAUGCACUUGGAUUUGUUGAACCUCCAAGUCCUCCUAUGCUCACAGCCUGUCUAGGUCCUUCUGGAUUGCACCCUGUCCGUCAGGGCCCAUAAUCAAGUCUUUUUUCUGCGUAAUCAAGAGAGCGGUUAAACAGCUGAGAGUCAUAAAAGAACAGGAAGAAUUUUAAGAUGCAGAGAAAUUAAAUUUGCUCCAGUUUUCAAAGGAUUAAUCCAGCCCUCAUCUCUCCUUUGACAUCUCUUGGCUACAUCCAAAUAGUCGUCUGCCUGUUCUUCCUCCACAAAAUAUGAAGGGAUGUUACUUGGGCUACCUCAUUCCCUGCCGGUUGCUAAUGGAAAAUAGUACUGCUGUGCAGGGAGACUUGUUUUAUAGGUGUUUUUCUUCUAUCUGGUUUUACAGUUCUCUACCGCCACUGUUCAGCAUUCCCUGGAUUGCUCUGCCGUUCUCUGGCCAUCCAUAUAUGUUUUGCAAACUGAGUGACACAAAGGCCUCUAAAAAAGGAAACACCUCUCACAAAACACUUUGCACUGUUCAUUGCUAUUUCUCUUAAGACAGGAGAACGGUUGCCUCCUAUCACCCUUAAGUUCCAUUUAAAAGCUGGUCAAUCCUACUGGAUACACCAGCCUUCCACUGCUCAGUCCUGGUGCCCGCAUAAGGACAGCUUUACAAAAUGAGUACUCCCUUUUCCCCUGCUAGGGCUUGACACACACUUGUAAGAUUAACAGCUAUGGAAUCUAGUGUUGUUUUAUUUUGUCAUCAGUUUUCAGUGAUAUCAUAGUCUUUUCAUUCCAGCACCUUUCACUUCCCAGUCCUUAAACUAAUAUACUGAUCCCUAUUACUAAAUAAACCAGACUAUAUCACCACUUUUUAAGCUGAGAUGUAGUUUUUCCUCUGUCCUUCUCCUUGUACAUACACUAGACUGUGCAUAAACAGCAAAGCACAAGAACUUUACAGCAAGCAGUUCCAAGUCUAACUAGGGCCUAGAGUACUGCCUACCUGAUAGUUGUGUAUAAUUUAAAGAACACUAACUGCAGAAUUUCCAAGUACUUGAUUUAAAGAAUCUUAUAUUUUUAUUAAAGUAGUUUUGCAGACUGACCAAAUAUGUUGUACUAUGGUUGAUUUUAUUGUGUAGCUACAUGGCUCCAUGCCCAUUGACUUCAAGCAAGUACAGCACUACUGCUGGAUCACAACAGUGCUAGACUGAAAGAACCAUAAUAUGAAAUUUGCAACUACAGUUUAAUCUACUUUAAAAAUAUGAAAUCUAGUAUGGUUAAUAUACCUAUCUUAAACUAAAAACUUUACCUGGAGAAAAUAAGUAGGUAUUUUUCAGUGCUCUGAUACUGAACUUAUUUUGAAUCAAUAACUCUGAUUAUUUUGCACAAAAAACAACCAACCAAAAAAAAAAAAC